rnacentral:rRNA from 1 species
GCGGACGGGUGAGUAACACGUGGGUAACCUGCCUGUAAGACUGGGAUAACUCCGGGAAACCGGGGCUAAUACCGGAUGGUUGUUUGAACCGCAUGGUUCAGACAUAAAAGGUGGCUUCGGCUACCACUUACAGAUGGACCCGCGGCGCAUUAGCUAGUUGGUGAGGUAACGGCUCACCAAGGCAACGAUGCGUAGCCGACCUGAGAGGGUGAUCGGCCACACUGGGACUGAGACACGGCCCAGACUCCUACGGGAGGCAGCAGUAGGGAAUCUUCCGCAAUGGACGAAAGUCUGACGGAGCAACGCCGCGUGAGUGAUGAAGGUUUUCGGAUCGUAAAGCUCUGUUGUUAGGGAAGAACAAGUGCCGUUCAAAUAGGGCGGCACCUUGACGGUACCUAACCAGAAAGCCACGGCUAACUACGUGCCAGCAGCCGCGGUAAUACGUAGGUGGCAAGCGUUGUCCGGAAUUAUUGGGCGUAAAGGGCUCGCAGGCGGUUUCUUAAGUCUGAUGUGAAAGCCCCCGGCUCAACCGGGGAGGGUCAUUGGAAACUGGGGAACUUGAGUGCAGAAGAGGAGAGUGGAAUUCCACGUGUAGCGGUGAAAUGCGUAGAGAUGUGGAGGAACACCAGUGGCGAAGGCGACUCUCUGGUCUGUAACUGACGCUGAGGAGCGAAAGCGUGGGGAGCGAACAGGAUUAGAUACCCUGGUAGUCCACGCCGUAAACGAUGAGUGCUAAGUGUUAGGGGGUUUCCGCCCCUUAGUGCUGCAGCUAACGCAUUAAGCACUCCGCCUGGGGAGUACGGUCGCAAGACUGAAACUCAAAGGAAUUGACGGGGGCCCGCACAAGCGGUGGAGCAUGUGGUUUAAUUCGAAGCAACGCGAAGAACCUUACCAGGUCUUGACAUCCUCUGACAAUCCUAGAGAUAGGACGUCCCCUUCGGGGGCAGAGUGACAGGUGGUGCAUGGUUGUCGUCAGCUCGUGUCGUGAGAUGUUGGGUUAAGUCCCGCAACGAGCGCAACCCUUGAUCUUAGUUGCCAGCAUUCAGUUGGGCACUCUAAGGUGACUGCCGGUGACAAACCGGAGGAAGGUGGGGAUGACGUCAAAUCAUCAUGCCCCUUAUGACCUGGGCUACACACGUGCUACAAUGGGCAGAACAAAGGGCAGCGAAACCGCGAGGUUAAGCCAAUCCCACAAAUC